rnacentral:rRNA from 1 species
AUGAAAAUCAUGAGCUGGAACUGCCGCGGGAUGGGGAAACCUGCUGCAGUUCGAGCGCUCUUGGGGAUCCAAGGGCAGGUCAGACCAGAUGUGUUAUUUCUGUCUGAAACACAUCUGGAUAAAGCUAAGGCGGGAAAGUUGAGAAGAAGACUAGGCUUUGAGGAGAUGGCAGUUUGGGAAAGUGACGGUAGGAAUGGAGGGUGUCGUGGUACUAAGACUGACAGUAAGAGUAGGGGGUACGUAGGAGGAGGCAAGGUCCUAGCUACGGUGAGAUUGUAUGCAAGUGUUUACGAGUUCUGGCCCCUCUCGAAGGAGGUAAAAGCCCUACGUCUCGGUGCCCGGAGGAGGUCGACUGGAUUUCAGUAUAUGCGUGUGUGUUACAGGGGGUGCGAACCCUUGUGCCAGAGGAGGGUUGGCUUAUAUAGAGUGCGCCAGGACCCCAGCUCCCCUCCGUUACAGGGGAUUCAAUGUACAUAA